GUUGAACGCUGGCGGCAUGCCUUACACAUGCAAGUCGAACGGCAGCACGAGAGCAAUUCUGGUGGCUAGUGGCGAACGGGUGAGUAAAGUAUCGGAACGUGCCCAGUCGUGGGGGAUAACGUAGCGAAAGUUACGCUAAUACCGCGUACGCUCUAUGGAUGAAAGCGGGGGAUCGCAAGACCUCGCGCGAUUGGAGCGGCCGAUAUCAGAUUAGGUAUUUGGUGGGGUAAAGGCUCACCAAGCCGACGAUCUGUAGCGGGUCUGAGCGGACAACCAGCAACACUGGGACUGAGACACGGCACAGACUCCUACGGGAGGCAGCAGUGGGGAAUUUUGGACAAUGGGCGAAAGCCUGAUCCAGCCAUGCCGCGUGCAGGAUGAAGGCCUUCGGGUUGUAAACUGCUUUUGUACGGAACGAAAAGGUUUGGGCUAAUAAGCUGAGCUCAUGACGGUACCGUAAGAAUAAGCACCGGCUAACUACGUGCCAGCAGCCGCCGUAA
rnacentral:rRNA from 1 species